rnacentral:rRNA from 1 species
GGGAGGUAUAUGUCUUCUAAAUUUUUCUAUUGUCCAGAGACCGAUAGCGCACAUUUUGAGUGAUCAAUUGAUGAUUUGCACUUUGAAAAGAGGGUUAUUAAGUACGUUUUAUUUUUGAAAUGGAAGUGCCUAUGACCAGACUUGGGCCCGGUGAAUCUUCUUGCGUUCUCGCUUUUGUUCUUUGCCGGUCUCAGGCCAGAAACGUUUUGGCUUUUUUCUUUUUUCCUUCUUUAAUGUGGCUCCCACGGGAAUGUUCUAACCUGCUGAGCAAUACCCUGAGCUGGAAUGGGGGACUCGCAUGGCAAGAAAGUUGGCAUAAUGGUCAUUCGCGACACAAUCUUGAAACCGAGAGCAUGGAGUAAUCUUCGUAUGAAAGGAUUCGAGUGUCUUCCCUACGC